UACGUAGGGGGCUAGCGUUGUCCGGAAUCAUUGGGCGUAAAGAGCGUGUAGGCGGCCCGGUAAGUCCGCUGUAAAAGUCAAAGGCUCAACCUUUGAAUGUCAGUGGAUACUGCCGGGCUAGAGUCCGGAAGAGGCGAGUGGAACUCCUGGUGUAGCGGUGGAAUGCGCAGAUAUCAGGAAGAACACCAACGGCGAAGGCGGGUCUCUGGGCCGAUACUGACGCUGAGGAGCGAAAGCGUGGGGAGCGAACAGG
rnacentral:rRNA from 1 species